UACGUAGGGUGCGAGCGUUGUCCGGAAUUAUUGGGCGUAAAGGGCUCGUAGGCGGUUUGUCGCGUCGGGAGUGAAAACUCAGGGCUUAACCCUGAGCCUGCUUCCGAUACGGGCAGACUAGAGGUAUGCAGGGGAGAACGGAAUUCCUGGUGUAGCGGUGAAAUGCGCAGAUAUCAGGAGGAACACCGGUGGCGAAGGCGGUUCUCUGGGCCGUUACUGACGCUGAGGAGCGAAAGCGUGGGGAGCGAACAGG
rnacentral:rRNA from 1 species